rnacentral:rRNA from 1 species
CUCCCGCAGGGACGCUAGUACAGGUGUGCAUGGCUGUCGUCAGCUCGUGUCGUGAGAUGUUGGGUUAAGUCCCGCAACGAGCGCAACCUUACCCUUAGUGUUUUUCCCCGAAAGGAUUACCCUCUAAGGGGACUGCCCGGACAACGGGGAGGAAGGUGGGGAUGACGUCAAGUCCGCAUGCUCCUUACGUCUAGGGCUACACACGUCCUACAAUGGGGUCGACAGUGGGAUGCAAAGCCGCGAGGUGGAGCCAAUCCCCCAAACGGCCUCUCAGUUCGGAUAGUAGUCUGCAACUCGACUACUUGAAGUCGGAAUCGCUAGUAAUGGCGGAUCAGCAUGCCGCCGUGAAUACGUUCCCGGGUCUU